GGCGGCCGCUCUAGCCCGGAAGUAAAAGUCGUAACAAGGUCUCCGUUGGUGAACCAGCGGAGGGAUCAUU
rnacentral:rRNA from 1 species